rnacentral:lncRNA from 1 species
GUCCUUCUCCUCCUCCUCCUUCUCCUCCUCCUCCUUCUCCUCCUUCUCCUCCUUCUUCUUGAUUUCUUCUUCUUCCUCUCCUCCUCCCCUUUCUUCUCCUCUUUCAUAUUAUCCUUGUUUUAAUUUCCCCAACAAUGACAUAAUUAACCCAUUUAGCUCCAAAAUGCCAUAAUAAGCUAAAAAUGGCAUAAGAACCUUGGUUAGCUCAUGUAG